rnacentral:tRNA from 1 species
GCGGGCGUGGCGCAGUGGUUAGCGCGUAGGUCUCAUAUCCCAGAUAUGACUUGGGUUAUCCUAAGGUCGAGGGUUCGACACCCUCCGCCCGCA